CCCGCUGAACUUAAGCAUAUCAAUAAGCGGAGGAAAAGAAACUAACAAGGAUUCCCCUAGUAACUGCGAGUGAACCGGGAAAAGCUCAAAUUUUGAAUCUGGCGGUCUUCAGGCCGUCCGAGUUGUAAUCUAGAGAAGCGUCUUCCGCGCUGGACCGUGUAUAAGUUUCCUGGAAUGGAACGUCGUAGAGGGUGAGAAUCCCGUCUUUGACACGGACUGCCAGGGCUAUGUGAUGCGCUCUCGACGAGUCGAGUUGUUUGGGAAUGCAGCUCAAAUAGGGUGGUAAAUUCCAUCUAAAGCUAAAUACAGGCGAGAGACCGAUAGCGAACAAGUACCGUGAGGGAAAGAUGAAAAGAACUUUGGAAAGAGAGUUAAACAGUACGUGAAAUUGCUGAAAGGGAAACGUUUGAUGUCAGUCGCGUCGUCCGGGGAUCAGCCUUGCUCUUUUGCUCGGUGUAUUUCCUGGUCGACGGGUCAGCAUCGGUUUCGACCGUCGGAAAAUGGCUCGAGGAAUGUGGCACCCUUCGGGGUGUGUUAUAGACUCGGGUCGAAUACGGCGAUUGGGACCGAGGAACUCAGCACGACCUUAGGGUUCGGGGCUUCGGCCCACGUUAACGUGCUUAGGAUGCUGGCAUAAUGGCCUUAAGCGACCCGUCUUGAAACACGG
rnacentral:rRNA from 1 species